rnacentral:lncRNA from 1 species
GUCAAGCUGUGAAGUCAAGCAACUUCCUGCAUUAUGACCUCUCAGUCACAAAGGGAAUACAUUUCUUCUUGCAGCAUUAGUAAGCUGUUUUCUCAUCCACAGGUAUGUGUAAUGUUGUUGGGCAUGGACAGGACGUCUAUUCAUUGAACAUGUCAUCAGACAGAAAGAAAUGGUUACCAGCUUGGAUUCAACUUGUCCUGUUAAACUGAUACCCUAAAAGAACAACAAAAAUGUCAAGAUUAUGUCAAUUGGUCAGGAUUCCUCAUGCCUUGAAUAUUCAGAUGAUGCUGUGAAUUUCAUUAGACAUCAGUGCUUUAUUGACCCCUUCACCCAAACAAUCUCAUAGCAGUCAAGUACUCAGAGCUCAGGACAGUAGCAGUUGAAUCAUCUCAAGAAACAAAGAAGGGUUGAAAGAGGAUACUUUUGAGGUCUGAAAGGUCUUCUGAUAACAGACAUUUGUUUGUGAACCUACUACAAACAGUCUCAGCAGCAAGCACCGCUCUGACUUUGAAGUCUGGAACUUGGAAAAUGUGCAGUCAUUUGAUACUACCACCUUCUUUUCUGAAUCUGCCAAGCAGUUUCUUCCUAAAGAGUUCCUAUCUGAGAAUUUCUUAUGUUCAUCUCAUAUUAAAGAAGAGUUAAAAUAGAACCUCUGGCCUAUUCUAUAAGAAAAAAGUGUGCAUUAUCACCACUUUUAUGAUACUUCCCAAACUUCUGUGGGACUCCAACGUG